rnacentral:rRNA from 1 species
CCCUAGUAACUGCGAGUGAAGCGGGAAAAGCUCAAAUUUAAAAUCUGACGGUCUUUGGCUGUCCGAGUUGUAGUCUGGAGAAGUGCUUUCCGCGCUGGACCGUGUAUAAGUCUCUUGGAACAGAGCGUCAUAGAGGGUGAGAAUCCCGUCUUUGACACGGACUACCAGUGCUUUGUGAUGCGCUCUCGAAGAGUCGAGUUGUUUGGGAAUGCAGCUCAAAAUGGGUGGUGAAUUCCAUCUAAAGCUAAAUAUUGGCGAGAGACCGAUAGCGAACAAGUACCGUGAGGGAAAGAUGAAAAGCACUUUGGAAAGAGAGUUAAACAGUACGUGAAAUUGCUGAAAGGGAAACGCUUGAAGUCAGUCGCGUUGUCCGGGACUCAGCCUUGCUUUUGCUUGGUGCACUUUCCGGAUAACGGGCCAGCAUCGAUUUUGACCGUCGGAAAAGGGCUAGGGUAAUGUGGCACCUCCGGGUGUGUUAUAGACCUUAGUCGCAUACGGCGGUCGGGAUCGAGGAACGCAGCGCGCCGUAAGGCAGGGGUUCGCCCACAUUCGCGCUUAGGAUGCUGGCGUAAUGGCUUUAAACGACCCGUCUUGAAACACGGACCAAGGAGUCUAACAUACCUGCGAGUGUUUGGGUGGUAAACCCGAGCGCGUAAUGAAAGUGAAAGUUGAGACCUCUGUCGUGGAGGGCAUCGACGCCCGGACCUGACGUUCUCUGACGGAUCCGCGGUAGAGCAUGUAUGUUGGGACCCGAAAGAUGGUGAACUAUGCCUGAAUAGGGUGAAGCCAGAGGAAACUCUGGUGGAGGCUCGUAGCGAUUCUGACGUGCAAAUCGAUCGUCAAAUUUGGGUAUAGGGGCGAAAGACUAAUCGAACCAUC